rnacentral:rRNA from 1 species
AUUGAACGCUGGCGGCAGGCCUAACACAUGCAAGUCGAGCGGAUGAAGGGAGCUUGCUCCUGGAUUCAGCGGCGGACGGGUGAGUAAUGCCUAGGAAUCUGCCUGGUAGUGGGGGAUAACGUCCGGAAACGGGCGCUAAUACCGCAUACGUCCUGAGGGAGAAAGUGGGGGAUCUUCGGACCUCACGCUAUCAGAUGAGCCUAGGUCGGAUUAGCUAGUUGGUGGGGUAAAGGCCUACCAAGGCGACGAUCCGUAACUGGUCUGAGAGGAUGAUCAGUCACACUGGAACUGAGACACGGUCCAGACUCCUACGGGAGGCAGCAGUGGGGAAUAUUGGACAAUGGGCGAAAGCCUGAUCCAGCCAUGCCGCGUGUGUGAAGAAGGUCUUCGGAUUGUAAAGCACUUUAAGUUGGGAGGAAGGGAAGUAAGUUAAUACCUUGCUGUUUUGACGUUACCAAAAGAAUAAGCACCGGCUAACUUCGUG